GUUGGGCAAAACAUAUGGUUGUUUGGUUGGUUAAAUGUUAUUAAUGAGAAUUCAUUGAGCUCGAGUAUCAUAUGCACCGCCAAAAUAAAAAGUCUUGAAUGCUAAAAGAAAAGUACCUAUACCUAACAAGAUUAAGAGAAUACCCAAAAUUGUGGUUAUUUUAUUUUUAUCUUUCCA
rnacentral:ncRNA from 11 species